rnacentral:lncRNA from 10 species
CCAUUCUCCUGCCUCAGCCUCCCGAGUAGCUGGGAUUGCAGGCAAGCCACCACUCCAGCUAAUUUUUGUAUUUUUAGUAGAGACGGAGUUUCACCAUGUUGUCCAGGCUGGUCUCGAACUCCUGACCUCAAGUGAUUGACCCGCCUUGGCCUCCCAAAGUGCUGGGAUCUUGAUAUCCUUCACAUGGACACUUAGUAUACCACAGGAAGGCAUCUUUAAUAACUUCCUUUCUGUGUUCUGCUCUUCCUCCUGUGCUUGUCUUAAAACAGAGCCUUACAGGGUCAUAAUUUGGAGGAAGCACAGGUAUGAGCCAUUGUGCGCAGCCAUAUCAGAUCCCUAUUCUUGUUUUAUUUAUUUUUUGAGACGGAGUCUUGCUCUUGUCACCCAGACUGGAGUGCAGUGGUGUGCUCUUGGCUCACUGCAACCUCUGCCUCCCGGGUUCAAGUGAUUCUCCUGCCUGAGACUCCCAAGUAGCUGGGAUUACAGGCAUGUGCCACCAUUCCCAGCUAAGUUUUGCAUUUUUAGUAGAGACGGGUUUCAUAAUGUUGGCCAGGCUGGUCUCGAACUCCUGACCUCAAGAGACCUGCUCGCCUUGGCCUCCGAAAGUGCUGGGAUUACAGAUGUGAGCCGCUGUGCCCAGCCAUAUCAGAUCCCUAUUUUUGAAGAAUCUAAGUCACUAGGUAUAGUUACAGGCACUGUGUAUCACUCCCCAAACUCAUUAGUCUCUUUCUUUUCCCAGAGGUAACCACUAUUCUAAUUUUGGAGUUCAUCAUUCCCAUGAAUAUUAAAAAAUUUUAAUUACAGACAAAUGCACGAUUAUGUGAAGAAUAGUUUGAAUAUAUUACAACUUUACAUAAGUUUAUAAAGUUAUGUUCAUUCCUCUGGGUCAUUCCUUUCAACCGCUUCAUAAUAUUUCUCUAUGGCUUUAACCCAAUUAUUGUAUUUAUUCUCUUACUGUUGGAUAGUAUUUAAAAAAAAAUAGAUCUAUGUUGAGAUUAUUUCAAAAACAGUGCAUAUUAACUGCCAAGCACUGUUCUAAACACUUGACAAGUACCGAUUGAUUUAAUUCUCAUAAUAGGACUAUGAGGAACUCCAUAUUAUUUCUCCAUUUUACAGAUGGGAAACUGAGGCACAGAAGGAAGUUAAGUCACAGAGAGAGGUUAUUUGCUCAAGGUCACAACGUUAGUAACUUGUGGGCCUACUUCCUAGAAUUGAAAUUUAUGGAUCACAGGCUAUAGGCACCUUCCACCUUACUAGAUAUUGCACUCUACCAAGCAGUUGUGUAGAUAGGAACUCUUGGAGAACAGAGCCAGAAGAAGCCCAGAACUGUGAGGAAUAGUGGAUUAGGAAACCAUUCCCAGGAUGUAAAACUAGGCCCUAAACUAGGAACAUUCUCUGCCUCCAGAAUAGGGUGUCUGGCAUGGCCUGAAUUAUGUCUCCCCUCAAAUUCAUAUGUUAAAGCUCUGUCCUUCAGUGUGACUAUGCUUGGAGACAGUGCCUAUGAGGAGGUAAUAAGAUUAGAUGAGGUCAUAAGAAUGGGGCCCCAAUCCAAUAGGGCUGGUGUCCUUAUAAGAAGAGGAAGAGACACCAGAGCUUUACAGCUGUCUGCAAACCAGAAGGAGCACCCUCACCAGGAAUCAAGUUGGCUGGCACUGUGAUCUUGGACUUCCCAGCCUCUAGAACUCUGAGAAAUAAAUUUCCAUUGUUGUGAUUGCUUUGGCAGCACAUAUACUAAAAAUUGGAAUGAUACAGAGAAGAUUAGCGUGGUGGCUGUGCAAGGAUGGCAUGCAAAUUUUUGAAGAU